AGAGGGAGUAAUAUUUUUAGACAAUUAUUUUACUCUUCCUUGUUAAUCUCUGAUAAAAGAAAUAGAUGCAACAACUUCUCUUAACCAUUGACUAUCCUUACUGCUCCCUCGCCGAUAAAUGGCUUGCCUCUUCUCCAACAAAUCACUACUGGUUACACGAAGACAUUUGAUUCAGUCCCUGCUCUGAGGAAAGCAGUUAUAUUAGGCUACAACCCUAUUAGACCUUGGAUGUCUGUAGUUUACAGGUUCACUAUAGAAACCAAGUUCGAGCUCUCUUUCUCCUAUAUAAAAUAACCGCAAUGAAUCAUUAUUGUUGCAAUAUGUUUUGUUGUAUAUUCUAUGCUAAGCUCCGUCCAACUGCUAUGAAUUCUUCCAAAGUAAGCAGAGUUAUUGUCAUUCCCUUAUCUUGCUUUGUUAUAUAUAGUAACAUACAACAAGAGGCCUUUUCUGAUUUUCACGUUUUAGUGUUGUUCAUCUUCAUUUCACCCGUAAAAGCAAGGUAUAAAGGUUGAAAUGAAUUUCAAAAUGAUAAAUCAGCAGUUCCCUACAUAGUUGGAUGGGGCACAAGAAAAGGAAAUGUAUACGAGGCAGAAACUUUUGUCAUAAUUGAUGAUGUUAGACUUUUGUAAUUUUAAAAUCAGAUGCACAUCUGAAUAAAAUAUGGUCUUGAUGUUUUGGGGAUGCCAUUAAUGUAGCUGAUUGUUAAGUGGAUAAAUUUCAUGUAAUGAGGAAUUCUGAGAAAUCAUUUUCUUUUGUAAUCAAGAUUUUAACCUGAUAAUGUUGGUAGCAUAUAUUUGUACUACACGUUA